AUGGGAAAUGAUUUUAAUACUCAAAUUCAACUACCUUAACAUUUAAAUAAAUUUUUAGAGGCAGGCUUGGAAACCUAACCAUCUAAAGAAUUUUUUUUAAUGCAUUGUAUAUUAAACAAGCAUACAAACAAAAACCUUGCAAAGACGUUUUGUAACUUAAUUCACCUUUCUGUCUCUACCCAGAUGCUUCAUAUACACCUCAUCAGCUCAAGCUCGAAAUGCCUAAAGACAUGACAGCAAUGCUUAUGAAGGGUUCUAUUGAAUGGCUGAAGAAUGCCGAUCAGACAUCAGGAUGUAUAGCAGAGGAAAGCAGCUGUUCUGUUCUGGAGCCAUGGAAAUGCUUUGGAAUGGUUUUCGAGGAACAGUCAACAAACCUCCAGCUGUGAGUGGUAAAAGAAAUGCUUCAGUUCAGAGCAGAGAAGAACGAGCAUGUUUUAAACCAUGGAGUCAGAAGGUGAGAAACUCCCAGGUUACCAGGAGCAGAGCUACUCUCAGAAGAAUGGGAUGAGUUGGUGACUACACCCCUCAGUGCAACAGGAAGCGCAGUGUCUCCCAACAUGAUGGAUCUCUCAAUACCACAGCAUUGGAAAGAGCCUUUGUUUUUUUCCACCCAAGGGAUCAUUUUGAAUAGUCUCUCAAGAUGGUUGAAGAGGCUAUAAUCUGGUCAAUGUUCCUCAAAGUGUGGAGAGUACCCGUGAGGCAAAAUAGAGAAGAGAUUGGAAGCAGAGUGGGAGAGACGAGCCUCACUUCCAACCCAUCCACUACUACACCCAUCACUUUUUUCUUCAUGCCUUGCAAGGUAUGAUGUUGCUACCAAAGUGCAAGAAAGUGUCUUUGUGAGUUUGAGAGCUCAAACAGGUGAGGGGGAAAGGCACCUAAAGUAACAGUGGUAAGAGUUUAGAAACAAUAUUAAAAGCCGUGGAAUUACAUCAAAACUCAGUAGGAUGGAAUUCCAUCAAAAGUACUCAUCUUGGAGCCCACUCCUUAGAGCCGAAGGAAGGCUUAGCUUAGAUCUCUAUUUUCUACAUUUAUAUUAGGAAAAAGGUAUGGUUUCUUUCUUUUUACAAUGUUUCCUGGCUACAGAAAAAAUAAAUUCCUCAAAAUUUUGCGUGCAGAGAGAUCGAUUACAUGACUUUAAGAGUUAUCUCUUCUCCAAAGAGAAGGUGUCCUUGCAAUUUUAUUAAUUAAUUUAUUUGUGAUAUCAUAGGUUAAGCCCGUAUUUAAUGAGAAUGCUGAUGGAUGAAGCCAUGACCGUAUGGUGAUUAUUACAGUGGACCAAGAUUCCAGAUUUUGUGCUUGAAGACGCGGGCAAAGCAGGUACAAGGUCUCUCAGCAGAUAUUUUUAUUUGUGAAAUGGGACAACACUUCUGGUUGCUUUUCAGUGGUGAGGAUUAAUGCAGUGCAUGGCACUUGGCUUGACAACCUGUGAGUAGAGAUUUGAGGACUUAGGUGCUGCAAUGAGCACGGCAUUAUUAUCACUUGUACUUUUCUAAAUUACGGAAUUAUUUGAGCGGCUCCGACUGCAGAUUGCACGUGAAGCCUCUGAAAGGCAUUUUACUUCAUGCUUUCUGGGAUGGUAAAAUUGUGAUCAACUUUAUGCAGAUCCAAAACAGAGAGUAGAGUUUGGGUUAGAUUUCGUAUGAGACACGAGAGUUUGGAUGACCCUCAUUUUCAACGUAGUCAAUAAAAUGCCAAUUUACAACUGAGAUGAAGAACUAAAAUUCUACUGAAGAUUUAUCUUCUUACAAGGUGUAGUCUGUAUAUAUUUUCCAAAAUUAUGUGCUUUAUGAUUUUGUCAUAAAAUUAAUGCCCAUUCAUUCAAAUAUAGAAAAAUAGAAAUAAAUGUGUCUCUCUUAAAGAGUCAAGUACCUUGACCAAUUUCACAAGCAGUGAGAAUGGAAGCCGAGUUAGGAACCCAGGGAGUCUGAUUUCCAAUCCAGUGCUAUCUUUGCAACGUCACAGUUUAGAGUUUAGCUAAUUUAGUAUUUUGCUUUUUGUUUUCACUUAACAUUGUGCCAAAAGCAUAUUUGACGUAAAACUUUCUUAGGGGGAGGUAUAACAUUCUAUCACGUACACCAACAGUGUUUUUGAACAUUUUUAAAAGUAUCUUGCGAAUGUCAGUAUUCGGGGUGAAGAUCAAGGGUUCUGGAAGGUUCGCACUGUGUGUCUGCACCCGGCUGGAAACACAGGCUUACACAACAGCCUUGCCCUCCUCACACCUGGCUGGGGUUUUGCAGAGCCAGUAGGAGGAGGCGAUGACCACACCUGUCUUUAUUUCUAGGAAGUCAGACAAUGGCUUAGGAGAUUUUACUUGGGAGGGAGAAAGAACAUUUAAGAGGAAUAUUUAAAUCAUAAGAGAAAGAAAUGGAAACUUGUUUCUUGGGGAUUCGCUGAAGAAAGAAAGGAGAAAAAUCCCAUCUAUCCAGCAUGGUUAAAGUGGCCCUUUGCACUUAGAUGAAUGUAUCAGGGUAUAAAUUAGUUGUUUCUACACUUUAGAUCUGAAGGGAAUGGAAAAAAGUCAAAAAACAAAACAAAGCAAAGAAAAAGGAUAAUUCACCAUAAUACUCUCAAAAGCCAAAGUUGACUAACACUAGCGCCCAGGUUAUUCUAAGACGUGGAUUUUCUGAUGACAGGACUGGGAACCCUCCGUUCCUCCUAGGUGUCCCCUCGACCUCCCGGGAGGCCUUCCGCCCACUGCCACUCUGCUCUCUCCCAGGAAGCUGUUGGCUAUUCCUUCAUCUGCUCUUUUCUGGGCUCCCCAGUUUCCUUCCAGCAGAUCACUCCACUCCAACAAACAUACAAAUGUUCCUUGUCAUGGAUACACGUCCUAUGUAGAUUUACUCUAUAGUUAGUGAAGUAGCAGACUCAUUUUAUAGUUCAUAAACUAAGUUUGGAUUCAUGCUCAACCUUGCUACCAAAGCUUUUGCAGCUAAGAGCUGCAGCUCACAUCACGUGCCCUGAGUUGCCCCUACCUCUGUGCCUAUCACCCAUCAGCGAGAUCUAUUUUCUCUGCAGAAGCACAUGCAUUGCCCCACGCCGACAGUCACUGGUUUUAGCAUUGGCUAAUCACCAAUACCGUUGUGUUAAGUGAGAUUCAUAGAUGCUGAUUGCAUUUAUUGCAUAAAUUACUUCAUUAUUAAAAUCAGGUCAUUUGAGUCCCCAAACCAUUAACAUGAAGGUUAUUAACAUAAUUUCAUAAGCUAAUAAAUCAAGCACAGGAAAAGAAUUAAAGGGUUCUUAGUGAUAAGUGUUUCUUCAGAGAUUAAGGAACACAAUUUUCUUACGCAUAUAUUAACAUUUUACGAGUGGGUUCUUGCAAGAGCAGUUUUUUCUCUCUCCAUACGUGACUCACACUCUGUCUUCUUCAUACUUGGCCUCUGAAACUCAUUUUCAAAAUUAAGGUGGUUUUUUUUUUUUCCUUUUCAAAGAACUAUAAAGCAGUUUUCUUUUUUUGAUGAUGAAUGUGUAAGAAUACAUAGAAAUUUUAUUUUUUAAUAUCUUUAUUGGAGUAUAAUUGCUUUACAAUGGUGUGUUAGUUUCUGCUCUAUA
ensembl:lncRNA